AAAAGGCGAAACAGUGUCAUGAGAUGCGAAUUUUGAGAAUGAACGAGUAUUUGAACGCACCUUGUACGAAUGAGAGUAAUUCGUAUGUUUGUUUGAGGGUGGUAAUAAAGUGAUUAAGAGAUUUAGUCGAUUGUUGAAGAGAAGAAUGAUUUCUCUCUUUUAAACGAAAUACCUUUUUUACUGGGAUAAUCAAUGAACAGUAAAAAAUUUCACAUUCUACCUCAAAUCAAACAAGAACACCCGCUGAACUUAA
rnacentral:misc_RNA from 1 species